rnacentral:tRNA from 1 species
GGGUAGAUGGCGAAAUCGGUAUACGCAUCAUAUUCAAAAUGUGAUAACUUCCAGUUAUGAGGGUUCAAGUCCCUCUCUACCUA